rnacentral:misc_RNA from 1 species
AGAAACGGGAAUGUAAAAUGGACUCUCAGUGUGAGGCUGAUGAAAAAUGCUGCAAGUCUAUGAGCUGUGGAUAUAAAACCUGCAUGAAAAUGGAAACGGAAAUGGAUCAUGAUAAAAGUAAGUGUGAAAAGGAGUUCGAGGAUGGGAAAAGGCAGCUUCAGAACCAAGGAAUCUGUGGAGACGGCACAACAUUGACAAAAUUACCACGCUGUCAAAAUGAAAGGUUUAGUCCAAUGCAAGUUAUAACAGAGACCCUCCGUGGAUAUUGUGUUAACGAAAACGGAACAAAAAUAAACGGUUCAGAUUUUAUCGGAAAUAGGGAUUGUACUAAAGUACGACAAGGACGAUGUCCUACACCUCCUGCCGCAUGUAAAAGUGUGGGGAAGGAUGCGGAUACCUGUCAUAGUGACGACUUCCGGUGCGGUGAUGACGAAAAAUGUUGUAUUGCGUUAGAAGGAAAUAUAUGCUUGACAAAAUGUAUUAAGGCGGAAAAAGCACCUGAAACAGUCGUUGAUGACUGCGCUGACAGGAAGUGUUGCCCAGUGACAACAUGCGAUAACAAAAUUUGUUUGAAAGACAAAACAGCUCGUUGUCGUAUAAACUCAUGUGGAAAGUGCGAAGCUGAAUUUUACAAUCUGAAAGGAGAAAAGGUUAACUGCAGUGAAGAUGUAUCACUUUGUCAAAGGCAAAGAGCAGAAGCACGAGAAGAAAAUGCUAGAAGGCGAAAGUCAGAAUUUGAUAGUUUAUCUUCUUUUGUGAUGAGCCGUGACAGGAGAGAAAGAGAAAGCAGGGAAGGACCCGACUCCGAUGAGGACGAUGAUAACGAGAUGGAAAAAGACAUGAGGAGGGAUGAGUAUGGAAUGAGUAGACAAGGGCUAGACGACUUACCAGAAGAUAGUGAGGAUGAAAUGGGAGACAUGCGUGAUAGGAUGGCGUCUGUAAGUCUUCGUCUCUGUGCAGUUUUUGAUAAGUUUAACGUUUGCAAGAAUGGAGGUGAAUGCAAAAUAGGAAGCGGAGAAAGCUUUUGGGAAAUCUGCAAAUGUGCCAGCGGAUACUCUGGCUUGUUUUGUGAAAACUCCGGAUCAGUCAAGCCAUUAGAUACCCAGUGUUACCGAGACCACCAGAGAAUAAAAACAAUGUCCAGUAUAAUGAUGACAGCGGACAAUAUGAAAGAAAGAAUGCUUCUUCAAGAAAUGUUUAAUAAAGUCAAACCUCCUCAAAAAAUAAUGUCACUCUUCGCCUGCGACCCUGCAACUGGCAGUUAUAAGGAAAUACAGAUGGGAAUGAUCCUUCCAAAUACCAUCAACUCGAUCAAGAUUUACUACUGUGCUGACACGAAAACUGGUCUUAGGAAGGAAGGGACGCCGGUAACUCUGGUGCAGUCAGAACGUAUGCCGAAUUGUGCUUUAACAACGGCCUUUCCUGACAUCAUGGGACUUCCCAAGAAGUGCAUGUCUAUGAACAUGUCAAUAUGUACAGCAACUGAUGAAUGUCAGUAUUUCUUGAACCAGGAGACCGGUAUGUGUGAGAAAGGCAAGGCGGGAGGUGGUUUCCUCAAACUUACUGACUGCUAUGACCAAUGUACAAUACAAAAAGGAUGUAUCAAUGAUCCAACAGGUAGCAUGGAAAAUUCCGAAGAUUUCGUCUGUGAAAAAGGAAUAAUAUCUGGUCCGAAACCUUGUAGGAUGACUGACGAAAACAAUGAAGAGUACGAUACUUGUGACUAUAACAGACACUUUUGUGAAGUUGUAGAAACUGAAACUGGACACAAUGGCACAUGUACAGCAUUCCCAAGUUACUGUCUGGAAAGUCCUGACAGCGGUUUUGGCAGCAGGGAAAUCGGAGCAUACUAUUUCAAUGCCAUGACUCGAAGGUGUGAGAAGUUCAGGUAUAAAGGUAGUGCUGGUAAUGGGAACAGGUUCUACAGUCUACAUCAGUGUCAUACAGAAUGCGGCCCCCGCCCUUACAAGUUCGACGACGUGGUAUGUCCGGUACCAAAACUACUGGCAAUGUCAAUGGAAAGCCCGAAUGAUAUGUGCGACGAGGAUAACGACUGCCACGGCACUGAUGUUUGUUGUUCAACUGGUAAAGCCAAAGUCUGUACAAGCUACACCAGGACAUGUUUUACAAGUGUGAGAUGUUCCCUGCACGGCUCCUGUUUGGAAGGCAAGUGUGUGUGUGAUGACUGCUCGAACGCAGUAAAGUCAGAGGUCUGUGGAUCCGAUGGAAUGACGUACCCUAGCGUGUGUCAUCUAAAAAAGAAAUCUUGCGAAAUGAUGCAGAAUGUUACUGUUGCAUUCAAUGGAUCAUGCAAAACAAAAUGUGGCGAUAGCUAUUGUGCAAGUUACGAAAUGUGUAACAACAAUGUCUGCAAGUGUCCAGAAUUUUGUACUGAACAAUAUGAACCUGUAUGUGGGAAGAGUUCCAAGUCAGGAGCGUAUUGUUUAUUCAGUAACGAAUGUAAAAUGACAGUGCAUUCAUGUCAAAUGAAGGAAAGAUUCAUCAAGAUGAAAGAUGAACUUUGUAUUCCAAAUGACUCGCCUGGAACCUGUAUGUUACAAUGUACUAGAGAGUACAAUCCAGUGUGUGCGUACGAUACUACUGAGGACGUACCAAAGCUCGUGACAUACGCCAACCCAUGUCGAUUAAGGGAAGCAUUACUGAAUGGGAAAAAGAUUAAAGUGCUCUAUCCUGGACAGUGUGCCCAAAAAUGCGGUGACACCGAAUGUGAACACUACCAAGGUAUGCUACAACAACACAUGUACUUGCCAAGAAGGUUGCACCAAAGAGUAUAGACCAAUCUGUGCCCAUCCCCUCAGCAACGAUGCUAAAUUGAUUACAUUUUCUAAUCUUUGCUUAAUGAAACAACAAUCUUGCAAGGAGGAAAAAACGUACAUGAUCGUUAAACAUGGCGCAUGUAAAGAACCAGAACCUGUGUAUGAAUGUCCAAAGACAAGACCUGAUAUACCAUUUAGUGCAACAGUAGAAUGUAAAAAAGAAAACAAUGCCGGAUGUGACACAGGCAUGGGAGAGAUGUGCUGCCCAUACGGCGCAGGCAUGAAGUGUUUGCCCAAAAAAGCUCUGGUGCGCCGCAAGACAAUGAAAGAUGGAAUAUGUCCAAACUUUUACGGAAAUAAUUUCGAUUCCACUAACUGCAAAAGCAGCAUGUGUAUGUCCGACGACGACUGUGACGGGGAUUCAAAAUGCUGUGAAAAUGAUGUGUGUGGCAAUAUGACAUGCGCAGCACCAUUAGUACGAGAUGAUGAAAGUCCUUGUGGGGCAAAUGCAAAAAUGGUGUCACAAUGUGCACCCAAAAUGGAUGAGACGGGCUGCCCUGAAGUGGGUACAUGCACAUCUGUCGUGACUGCAGAAAACGAAAACGUUGGUAUUUGUUGUGUACCGAAUGAACAACUAAUGAAAGGAGAUAUAG